UACGUAGGGUGCGAGCGUUGUCCGGACUUACUGGGCGUAAAGAGCUCGUAGGUGGUUUGUCGCGUUGUUCGUGAAAACCUGAGGCUUAACCUUGGGCGUGCGGGCGAUACGGGCAGACUGGAGUACUGCAGGGGAGACUGGAAUUCCUGGUGUAGCGGUGGAAUGCGCAGAUAUCAGGAGGAACACCGGUGGCGAAGGCGGGUCUCUGGGCAGUAACUGACGCUGAGGAGCGAAAGCGUGGGGAGCGAACAGG
rnacentral:rRNA from 1 species